GUCAGACUCUCUGCCUUCGGUACCACCGGUUCCAAUGGAUACCACCCAGCGCAGCUUAGCCACACAACUCCCUCUAGUUCUUUAUGGUGUUCACGGUAGCAAACACUGUUGUGCACACAGUAAACACACCCCUUGUCAUAGGAGAAGAUGGAAGACUAGUUUUCUAACGUCACUGCAGAUAUCCUCUGUAGCACAUCAUAUACCUGGGGCUACAACAGAAGAAAACCUGUCUCCCAUGCCAGAUAAAACCUGUCGUUAAUGUCUGCAAAGUGUCAUGAGACGAAGAAACAUUAUUGAAAUGAUACAGGGUAUCAUAGAAAUGUAAUCUGCUCUGCUUUGGGGCACUUAGGUUGCCUAACAAAUAAGGUAUUAAGAGCCAGUACACUUUUUGCCCCGGUGGGAGGCUUGAACAAAGAACCCUUCUGCCGAAUCUCCAAAAUGGCGAAACCAGCUGAAUGUGUUCCCAUCAUCUUUUGCUGAGAAGAUGAAAGCCUUUGGGGAUGUUCUUGCCCGUAAUGAGGGUACCUUUUCAUGCUAAGUAUCUGAAUUGCAGGCUGAUUUGGGAAAAGCUAAUUGAGAACAGAAGCUAAAGAGGAAAACACUUGUUUCUCAACAUUUUCUUCAGUUCAAAUAUUGAGUCAGUGCCAACAUAAUUACCAAAUUGCGGUCUUCUCUUUCCUUCUCUUGUUAAACAAUUCUGCUUUCCCCAGUAUCUCUGUUUUCGAGAAAAUCAAGUGGGUACAUAGCUGGAAAUUGCGCAGGUCAUGUGUUCUUUGGCAGCUACAAACUUCUUUUCUACAAGGCAAUCCCUGGACAAAAUCCAAGGUGAUCGUAUCCUUUCUACCCCAACACUGUGUACAUUGCGUAACACAUGUCCUUUUGUACCUUUCUGGAAAGCAAAUGCAGCUGCUUUUUUGAACAUGGAUGGCACAGCCUGUCUUCAGGCGCCCUAUGGACCUUUAAAUUAGCACAUGCCCAUUAGGCAUAGUCACACUACCAGGUCAGACUGUGUUAACCUGCAGCACGAUACUGUCUCCUUUGACUAGCAGCUGUUCUCCAUCAUCUCAGGCCUUUUGCAUCCUUUUCAAGCUGGUUCUUUUUAAUUACAGAUGCCAGAGACCACCCCUAAGUCAUUCUGCAUGCAAAACUAGUGAUAAGUUACUCUACUCUGGUCCCUCACCAGUUGAUUUAAAUGGCACGAAUGUAGUUAGAAGAAGCUUUGAGUUUUGUGAGUAGUCUUGCGUAUUUGUAGCCUGAAACAGCAAAC